ensembl:lncRNA AHSA2P activator of HSP90 ATPase homolog 2, pseudogene
GUAAAAAGAAAGGAGAUGGGGUUAUACUGAAGGAUCUUAUGAAAACUGCAGGCACUGCCAAGGUCAGGGAGGCCCUUGGAGAUUACCUGAAGGCACUUAAGACGGGUAAAGAAGGCAUCCCUUGUGAAUCAGAGGGGUCCCUUUUCUAUUUACCCAAGUUAUACUCUACACUGUGGUCAGAGGCUCCAGAAGCAAGUUUAUACUUCAGAAUAAAUUGUAGUCUGGAAGUUGAGAGCUAGUCAUCGUUAAGACCAUAAUUAGUGAUAAUUAGUAUUGUACACAGCAUGAACCAUUUUGCCUACAGAACUGUUAAUUGUAGUUUUCUGGAAUGAAAAUCAGUUGUUCGUGUAAUUACUUGUUUAAUGUCUGACUUCCUUGCUAGACUAUAAGCUCCAUGAGGGCAUGGAAGGUGUCUGUCUUGUUCACUGCUGUAUCUCCAGCAUCUAGCACAAUGCCUGGCACAUAAAUUUACAACGGGAAUGAUUUUACCAACGAAAGCUAUGGCAACCCAGGAAUUGACUGUCAAAAGAAAACUGAGUGGGAAUACCCUGCAGGUUCAGGCCUCAUCUCCAGUGGCACUGGGUGUAAGGAUUCCCACUGUGGCUCUUCACAUGAUGGAACUGUUUGACACAACUGUAGAGCAGCUGUAUAGCAUCUUCACUGUAAAGGAGGUAAGUAACUCCCUAAGCUAGCAUGUUAAGUGCUGACAUUGGGAGAAAAUACAUUACAAAGAACAGGAGCUGGUUUUUGGUUUUCCUUGUGGCUGUGUUUUUGAUUGAAGGGAUGUGGGAUGGUGGUGACAGAAGUCUGAGCAUAGUUUCUGAAUAAUUGGAGGGGAGAUGGGCAUUCUUUGGGACUAUGUCCGCAUUACAUUGAGUUUUCUCCCUCUAGGAAGAGAGAGUUUGUGUUUUAUUUUCUGUAAGUAAAAGCUACAUGUUUAGGAUUUUUAAACCAUAUUAAUUGUUAUAUUUUGUAUUUCAUAAUUAUAUUAUGUGUUAGUGUGUACUGGAAUAACAUGUUUUAUUUGGUUAGUUGGUGCAAAAGUUUUCUAAAUCUACUGCUGUAUUAGAAACUGAAAAGGGAGGGAAAUUCCAGAUGUUUGAUGGGAACAUCACUGGUGAAUAUCUAGGAUUGGUAAGUAGACUCAAGGUUGAAGAAGUAAGGUGGGAUUAACUCUUAAUAUUACUUUUUGUAUAUGCUGUUUUUAGCACCGAAAUCACGAGGGUCUGUGUUGCCUCAACCUUAACAGCAGCCCUCUGUUCUGGUUACUAUUACUGUACUUAAAACAUUAUUAUAUAUUCCUGCUGUCCUUGAUGUUACUGCUGUUCUGAGACAUUUUGGCAAUAAAGACAAUUAUCAGUGGUGCUGAUGUAUAAACUGGAAGAAGGACCGUAUGUUGUUCAUUGAUUCUUCUAGGAGUUUCAAUGAAAGGAUUUUUCUGUGUUGUAUUGUGGGAAGUCUUAAAAGAUUUUCAGUGGAAUUUCCCCUCUCUUUUCAGUUAACAAAUAAGAAGAUCAUCAUGAAAUGGAGAUGUGGGAACUGGCCAGAAGAACACUAUGCCAUGGUUGCACUGAAUUUUGUGCCUACUCUAGGGCAAACAGAAUUACAAUUGAAGGAGUUCCUAUCUAUCUGUAAAGAAGAGAACAUGAAAUUCUGUUGGCAGAAGCAGCAUUUUGAAGAAAUAAAAGGUUCACUGCAGCUGACCCCCCUAAAUGGUUGAAUUAAAAUUUAUUAUAAGGCA